GACGAACGCUGGCGGCGUACUUAACACAUGCAAGUCGAACGGAAAGGCCCUGCUUUUGUGGGGUGCUCGAGUGGCGAACGGGUGAGUAACACGUGAGUAACCUGCCCUUGACUUUGGGAUAACUUCAGGAAACUGGGGCUAAUACCGGAUAGGAGCUCCUGCUGCAUGGUGGGGGUUGGAAAGUUUCGGCGGUUGGGGAUGGACUCGCGGCUUAUCAGCUUGUUGGUGGGGUAGUGGCUUACCAAGGCUUUGACGGGUAGCCGGCCUGAGAGGGUGACCGGCCACAUUGGGACUGAGAUACGGCCCAGACUCCUACGGGAGGCAGCAGUGGGGAAUAUUGCACAAUGGGCGGAAGCCUGAUGCAGCAACGCCGCGUGCGGGAUGACGGCCUUCGGGUUGUAAACCGCUUUCGCCUGUGACGAAGCGUGAGUGACGGUAAUGGGUAAAGAAGCACCGGCAAACUACGUG
rnacentral:rRNA from 1 species